rnacentral:rRNA from 1 species
CGGAGACAGGUGCUGCAUGGCUGUCGUCAGCUCGUGUCGUGAGAUGUUGGGUUAACGUCCCGCAACGAGCGCAACCCUCGCUUCUAGUUGCCAGCAUUUAGUUGGGCACUCUAGAGGAACUGCCUGCGCCAAGCAGGAGGAAGGCGGGGAUGACGUCAAGUCCUCAUGGCCCUUACAGGUGGGGCUACACACGUGCUACAAUGGCGGUGACAAAGGGAUAAUCCCUAAAAGCCGUCUCAGUUCGGAUUGUCCUCUGCAACUCGAGGGCAUGAAGUUGGAAUCGCUAGUAAUCGCGGAUCAGCACGCCGCGGUGAAUACGUUCCCGGGCCUU